UACGGAGGGGGUUAGCGUUGUUCGGAAUCACUGGGCGUAAAGCGCUCGCAGGCGGGUGCGGAAGUCGGGGGUGAAAGGCCGGGGCUCAACCCCGGAUCGUUCUCUCGAUACUCCGUGCCUAGGGACCGGUAGAGGCCAGUAGAAUUCCCGGAGUAGCGGUGGAAUGCGUAGAUAUCGGGAAGAAUACCAGAGGCGAAGGCGACUGGCUGGGCCGGCUCCGACGCUCAGGAGCGAAAGCGUGGGGAGCAAACAGG
rnacentral:misc_RNA from 1 species